UGAACCUGAAGCAUCAACAAGGUGACUAUAAUGUUGUUGUGUAGAUUUGGCUGGACCUUUGAGCAGCGUAUCAAGCCAACUUCCAACUGAUUUAAAAGGGUGAGUAAAGCCAUUUUUAAGCUGGAGGAGUGAUGCCUCAAAGACUUGCCAGAAUAAAGUGACGACAAUCAUCGCCGAAAGAAGGCAAUGGGUUAUAGUAUUCUGCUUCUUUAUUGCUUUAAGCUCUUUCACCAACUCUUCAACAAGAAUUCCCCCAGACCCACUUCCAUUUUCACUUUUUGCAUUUGCUUUAUCAGCAUCAUUAUCAUCAUCCUUUUGAAAGUUUAACUCCUAAACUUCAGAUUGCUUCAGUGUGUUAUCUUCUUUUAAAGAUUCUAACUGUCCAAUAAUAGUAAGACAG
rnacentral:lncRNA from 1 species